AUACGGAGGGUGCAAGCGUUGUUCGGAAUUACUGGGCGUAAAGCGCGCGUAGGCGGUCUGUUAUGUCAGAUGUGAAAGUCCUCGGCUCAACCGGGGAAGUGCAUUUGAAACUGGCAGACUUGAGUACUGGAGGGGGUGGUGGAAUUCCCGGUGUAGAGGUGAAAUUCGUAGAUAUCGGGAGGAAUACCGGUGGCGAAGGCGACCACCUGGCCAGAUACUGACGCUGAGGUGCGAAAGCGUGGGAGCAAACAGGAUUAGAAACCCCAGUAGUCC
rnacentral:rRNA from 1 species